GAUGAACGCUGGCGGCGUGCCUAAUACAUGCAAGUCGAACGAACAGACGCCUACCUUGUUCCUCGGACGUUAGCGGCGGCCGGGUGAGUAACACGUGGUUAACCUCCCUAUAAGACUGGCAUAACUUCCGGAAACCAGUGCUAAUAACAGAUAAUAUAUUGAACCGCUUGGUUCAAUAGUGUAUGACGGUUUUGCUGUCACUUAUGGAUGGAUCCGCGCCGUAUUAGCUAGUUGGUAGGGUAACGGCUUACCAGGGCGGCGAUGCGUAGCCGACCUGAGAGGGUGGUCGGCGACGAUGGAGGGUAGGAGACGUCCAGGGGCCUGCGGAAGGCGGCAGUAGUGAAUCGUACGCAGCGGGGGAAAGCAUGACGGAGCAGCGGCGCGUGGGUGAUGAUGGCCGCCAGUGCGUGAUGCUGUGUUUUUGGGGGUAAACAAGUUUGUAAAUAGAUGUGGGGGGCUUGACGGUAGCUAAUCAGGAAGCCACGGCUAACUACGUG
rnacentral:rRNA from 1 species